GACGAACGCUGGCGGCGUGCUUAAUACAUGCAAGUCGAACGAACAGGCCCUGCGCUUGUGCGGUGCUCGUGUGGCGAACGGGUGAGUAACACGUGAGUAUCCUGCACUUGUCUUUGGGAUAAAUUUAGGAAACUGGGGCUCAUAUCCGAUAGAAGAUCCUGAGCCAUAGUGGGGAUUGGUAAGUUUCGGCGGUUGGGGAUGGACUCGCGGCUUAUCCGCUUGUUGGUGGGGUAGUUGCUUACCAAGGCUUUGACGGGUAGCCGGCCUGGGAGGGUGAACGGCCACAUUGGGACUGAGAUACGGCGCAGAAGGCAACGGGAGGCAGCAGGGGGGAGUAUGGCACAAUGGGCGGAAGCCUGAGGCAGCAACGCCGCGUGCGGGAUGACGGCCUUCGGGUGGUGAACCGCUUUCGCCUGUGCCGAAGCGGGAGUGACGGUAAUGAGUAAAGAAGCAACGGCUAACUACGUG
rnacentral:rRNA from 1 species